AUUGAACGCUGGCGGCAGGCCUAACACAUGCAAGUCGAGCGAGCGGCGGGCGGGUGAGUAAUAUAUGGGGGCUGCCCGAUAGAGGGGGAUAACUACUGGGAACGGUAGCUAAUACCGCAUCCUAUCGGAUAACCCAUAUGGGAUUAGCUAGUGGGUGAGGUAAUGGCCUACCUAGGCGACGAUCCCUAGCUGGUCUGAGAGGAUGAUCAGCCACACUGGGACUGAGACACGGCCCAGACUCCUACGGAGGCAGCAGUGGGGAAUAUUGCACAAUGGGCGAAAGCCUGAUGCAGCCAUGCCGCGUGUAUGAAGAAGGUCUUAGGGUUGUAAAGCACUUUCAGUCGGGAGGCGUUACCGACAGAAGAAGCACCGGCUAACUCCGUGCCAGCAGCCGCGGUAAUUC
rnacentral:rRNA from 1 species